rnacentral:tRNA from 1 species
AAACCUUUAGUAUAAUAAGUAUAUUCGUUUUAAGCACGGAAAGUAUUUAAAGUAUU